GUAUAUUAGACAAAACAUUUUAACUGAGAACAUGGACGAUUCUCAAUCACAAGAUAAGGCUUGUUGGACUAGAGAGAUGUUGCACGCUUUUUGUGACAUAUGUAUUAAAGCAAUUGAGCAAGGUAUGCGACCCAACACACAUUUCGACAAAGCUGGUUGGAAAUAUGUUAUGAAUGGCUUUAAGGAUUAAACUGGCCAUGCAUUAACGAAAGCACAAUUAAAGAAUAAGUGGGACGGAAUUAAAAAAGAUUGGAGAAUAUGGAAAAGGUUGAUUUCUGAAACAGGAGUAGGCUGGAGUGCUGAACUUGGAACAAUUUCGGCACCUGAUGAAUGGUGGAAAGCUAAAAGCCAGGAGAUACGCGGAGCAAGAAAGUUUAGGCAUGCUGGAAUCGAUCCCACGUUGUGUUGUAAAUAUGAUAUCAUGUUUACAAACACUGUUGCUACUGGUCAGUAUGCUUGGGCUCCAUCACAGGGUCUGAAUGCUGAUGAAGAUGGUGUCAGUGAAAGGCAAACUAACGCAGUUAAUGAGGACCCUCAUAUUGAGGAAGGUAGUGGAGAUUCUGAGGAGGAUAGUCUACCAAAUUUUGUUGCCGAUGUCAAUAAUAUGGUUGCUGGUGUCACUUUUGCCAACAGCACAAGCAAUUCCACUAGUAGUAGUGGGAAGAGAAAAGGUGUGCAACAAAGUUCCCAAAAAAAUGAGAAAAAAAGAAGAGGUGCCGGAAGGGGAUUGCAAUUGUUUUCGCGUUUAGAUAAGUUGGUUGAUAGUGUGUCUAGCAAGAGUGAAUGCACGUCAAGUGUUUUUGAUAAAAAAGGAUGUAGCAUAGAAGAGGUGAUGACGGAGUUUCACUCCAUUGAGGAAGUGGUGUUCGGCAGUGAGCUGUAUUGUUUUGCAACUGAGUUUUUUAUGGUUAGAAGUAGGAGGGAAAUGUGGGCAGCAAUUGGUGAUUUGGACCGAAAAAUUCAGUGGCUGAAAUUAAUGUUCGAUCGAAGGGCAAGCUACAGACCUUGAUUUAAAAGAUUACAAUACCAAUCCUUAUGGUGAUGUGCAAUGCAUGAGGUGUUGCUGCGGCUGUGUUGUUGCCAAAUGGUUGAUGCAAACGGUUCUGCCGUUGCUGAUUUUUCCCAGGUUUCUAAUUUGUAACGUAUGAUAUGUUGAGCACUUCCUUGUAUUUGUAGCUGUAGGCUAAUUGGUUAUGUUUGAGAUGUCUGUAACAGCUGUUGUUGUAC